GGGCCGGGCGGUGGGGAAACGCGGUGACCCCAUGAGCACAGAGGUGGGGGACACUAGGAACCGGCCAGAGCAAACUCGAGGUGUCCUUGCGGGCCCUGACCUGCUCGCAGCGGCAAACCCUACUCUCGCCUUGGGAGCCGUUGAUGGCCUGGCUGGGUCAGGGCUUUCACCAUUUUCCUGAUUUCUUUGAGGGCUGCCGCUGGAGCCUCCUCCGGGUCUCUAGCAGAGUCGGGGGGGGGGGGGUCUGACAAAGGGACGGGGUCAGGGAUAGUGUUGGGAUGUCCCGAGUGCACGUCUUCUGAACGGGCAGUAGUUUUGGGAAAAUGUUGGUGGCCGCACCAUGACCCAGGGCGAAGCAGGCGUAUCAGAAUUUCCUGCUUUGCGUGGGGAGGUUUGCACCGCGUCCUGGAUGUGGGCUUGAUCCUUUCGGUGACUGUUAGGUACUGUAAACAGACUUCAUGGUUCUAACACAGUAUAUCAAACGCUCUCAAAAUAUUCCUACAAUAGGGGAAACGUGGGCUGGUUGUGAUUAACAACUAGGUAGAGGUCUGCUCAGGUCAAACAAGCUGUUGGUAACUAGGGCUUCCUGGGGGCUAGACUAAAAAAUAGCAUGAUCUCAGCUGAGAGACUAUUUUAGGAAGAGACGUUUCUCCAGGUAGAAGACUAUUCUGAAUGGAUACUUCUGGGAGUUUCCGUGUAACUGCUUUUGUUAUAAGGCUUUCUACAUCUUUUUUUUUUUUUUUUUUUUUUUUUUUUUUUGAGUUUUGCGAGCUAGUGGUGAGCUUGCACUUUGAAAUCCAGCCAGAUUUCUCAAAAUAGUACUCUUGGCUGUUGUGACAAAGACCUUUCAAUAUCAAUCAUCUGUUUAACUACACAGAUGUUCCUUCCUAGUGUACCCAGCAGUGACCAGGGGAGAAUGAGAACCAUUAACCUGUCUCAUUACGCUCAGAUUUGUUUCUGGUUUGCUGGGUUGGAUCAGACGUACUUGCCUUUGGAUAGCAGAGAGCUGCUUUGGGCAAGAGUUACCUUCUCCCAACAAGGCAAAACAGAUAGGAUGCACUCUGGUCAUUCUAAACAAGUUCUUUGAGCUUUUCCGUCAAGCCAUUUUUAGCACAUUCAGCUACAAAGAUGAAUCUGAUACAUUUCCUUGUUUCAACUUCAUACAGAAAGCGCCAGAGAGCUAGGAGUGUUAAAUAGCUGCAGAAGAGAAAGAGAACAUCCUGGACGGCCGUGGAGCCCAUGGUAGGCAGGCAUGUGAGUUUCUGUAAGCGGAGGUCUUGCCACACACACUCUCGCCCUUUUCUCUCCCCUUGGCUAUGCUAAAGCCCAGGCCAUCGCCUGGUUGUGGUCUCACGGCAGAUACACAGGUAUUCGUGUGGGUAUUACUUGGACUGGCUAUCUGAAGGGUAGAGCAAAGAACCAAAAAUCUACCAAAAACUGAAACAAAAAGGAAACAGAGGCAAAAAAAGAAAAUCUAGUAGAGAAGCACCCAGAUCUGCAAGGAGUAAGAGAAAUUCUACUGGGCACAGACCAGCGUUGUCCUAUCUUCACCUCUCCUGGUGUGGUCCUGUAAGGCCGGCACAAAAGAUGCUUCUGUUUGACGACAUUAACAUAUAAUUUCAGAGAAUGUGAAGAAGGCAUUACUUUGUUGUCUUCGAGCAUCUGCUGUUGCUGCUAAGAAGUUGGCUCCAGCACAAAAGGCUUUUCUUUCAAGUGAAAAUAAGGAAUGCUGAUACCUGAAGAAGAUUUCAAAUCCUGCAACUUCGGUGAAGUUUCUAGAAGCAUAGUCAUCUGGAGUAAGCCAAAGUAAAGGAUAGAUUCUUGCACCUUGAUGUUCCCACUAUGAAGAAGAAAACAUUCCACCUCCUGGACCUCUUUAGAUUCUGGAAGCAUCCUAUUCCACAACAGGGGACAUUGCUCCAAUUGGCUGCCAUGUGUUUAGGAAAAUCCUUAAGCAGACAUGUCUUAAAAGAAGUGUUCUAAUAGGAUUAUCCAUGUCUACCGUGUUGACUGUCCAUGUUUUCAUUAAAAUGAUCUGAAGAACCCUUGUAAAGAUUACAGGUAAACUCAAGGAAAGGAAACGCCUCAGAAGAAAUCAGAAAUGAAAAAUGACCCUCAGUCCCCGUGGCCCGCCGGUGCCCAAUUACCCACCCAUCCUGUCUCCACAUCAAAGAGCAAAGGGUAAGAGAGAUCAGGGGAGAAGGACAAGAAAGAAAGGAAAAGAGAGAUUACAGACUGGCCGUUUGAGAUCUGGUUACCAGCCUGGAAAAACAAGAACAGAUGUAUUUGCAUGAUUAUAAAAUAAAAUGCCUUUCAAAUAACUUAAUCUCCGGGAAC